UUGACAUUAACCAAGAAUCAUAUGUCAUAAUAAUGUAAUUAAGUUUUAUUUCACUGUCAAAAGCUUUAACAAAUCAGUAAUUAAUAUUCCACCUACCUGAAAUAAAGCGAAACAAAUAGGACCAACAAUAAAGAUUUCAUUAAUCUUCAUUAAUAAUUCCCUUUACAUCAAGUGAAACAAUAGCAACAGUUAUGAAGAUGUUAAGUGUUAUUACAGUGUCAAAUGCUUUAUUAACAGUCAUUAAUAUUAACCUUUACCUCAAGUAAAGUGAAACAAGUAGCAACAGUUAUUAAGAUGUACUUAUGUGUUAUUACAGUGUUAAAUGCUAUAUUAAGUCAUUAAUAUUAACUUUUACCUCAAGUAAAUUGAAACAAGUAGCAACAAUUAUAAAGAUGUCAUAAAAAAAGAUUACUUGUUCUUCUAACAGAGGGUUUAACUUCUGCUCAGUACUGUUAGGAUCUGGGUCUUUUUGGGUUUUUCUUUUCCUUCCUGUUGCUUGCCUUUCCUUCCAUUGACCACCAGAUGGAGCCAUGGAGGCGAGAUGCUGGAGGACUGGAGUGCUGACGUCACCUUUCACGCCGGUAAUCAAUAUGCUCAUCAGCGGGACUUUAAGAGAUGUCGACUGCCAGCAUACCGACGCCUGAGUGUUAGCCAGUGAUGGUGAAUCCUGUGAUUCCAAGUCUGGCCGAGACUCCAAGUUUCCUUGUGACGCCGUGGAUCCGUACCCAUUGGUACCCAAACCCAUACUCACCUUCCUCUGUUGAAAACUUCAUCAGUACCUAUGUGCUCCGGCUGGCAGUCCGCUCACUCCGAGACGCCUUCAAGUCCGAUUUACCUGUCCGCCCUCCACCGCAAGGACGGCCUCAACCACUGGACUUCUCUCCGUAAUUAUCACCAACCUGGGUUCUGUUUUUGGUGAGAACUCCUUCAAGACCCAAGAGACUCCGAUCAUCAGCACCCAAGCCCCCAGCUGCUCCGUUAAUCCUAAGAUGCUCCGACGUUCCAGCGUUCUCAGUCCACAAAUUGGUCAUCUGAGAUCCUGCCAUUUAC